rnacentral:lncRNA from 1 species
GUCAUAAGUAUUCUCCUUUUCCACAAUUAUAUAUACCACACAUAGAGAUAAUGGCCUUUCACGAAGCAAUUACUGCUCUUAUUCUACUCACUAAUUGACCUCAAAAAAAUUACGAAAUAAACUACUAUUCUUCAUAAAAUCACAUUGCAAAAUAGUUUAUAUAUACAAUUCCUUCAAUAAUAACAAUUAUGAAAUACACAUGUUCAACUAAUAAAUAGGUUAUCACCGACCAAUAAAUAAAAACAUUAAUUUCAUAAUUCAAUUUAGCAUUUCACAAUCCUAAAACAUAAGUUAGGUUUUCAUCAAAACAUUUUCAAAGGCUUGAUACUCUUAACAAUUAAUAUUAAUUUCUUUAGCUAAAAUAGAUAUAUUCAUGCCAACAUAUAUAAAACAAUUACACCAAAAAUAGUUAAGAGAGACUUACCUGGCUCCUAGCAAGCAAAGAAGGCAUGCCCCCACAUUCUAAGGUCAUACAAAACUGAUUCCUUUAGUAGGUAAACAUAUCGCAAUAAUAAACCACUAGGUUCCUAUAGUAGCCAAGCCAACAAUAUUCCCUCCUAACGUUGGUUCUGAGCGCUUCAUCCGAGAGACAUUAGAGCAAAAUCAUCAACAAGUUCUUCAACCAUGAAUUGGAGUUGCCGGUAAUUACAAAGAGAAGUGAAACCAUCAACCAUGUUGUCAUCGUCAGAAUCAUCAGCCAUAAUUCCUUAGAUUGUUGUCGCGGAUGGCUUGAAUACAAAU